GGGUCAGUAGGUUGGUCGUGCCACCGGUACGUACUGGUCUCACUGAUCCCUCCUUCCUGAAGAACCGUAAUGCCAUUAAUUUGGUGUUGCGGGGAAACAGGACUGUUACUUUGAAAAAAUUAGAGUGUUUAAAGCAAGCUAACGCUUGAAUACAUUAGCAUGGAAUAAUGAAUUAGGACGAUCGAUCCUAUUUUGUUGGUUUCUAGGAUUGACGUA
rnacentral:rRNA from 1 species